rnacentral:rRNA from 1 species
UACGUAGGGUGCGAGCGUUAAUCGGAAUUACUGGGCGUAAAGCGUGCGCAGGCGGUUUUGUAAGCCAGAUGUGAAAUCCCCGGGCUCAACCUGGGAAUGGCAUUUGGGACUGCAAGGCUCGAGUGCGGCAGAGGAGACUGGAAUUCCUGGUGUAGCAGUGAAAUGCGUAGAUAUCAGGAGGAAUACCGAUGGCGAAGGCAGGUCUCUGGGCUGACACUGACGCUCAUGCACGAAAGCGUGGGGAGCGAACAGG